UACGUAGGUGGCAAGCGUUGUUCGGAAUUACUGGGCGUAAAGCGCGCGUAGGCGGCUCUUCAAGUUAGGCGUGAAAGCCCCGGGCUUAACUCGGGAACUGCGCUUGAUACUGUCGAGCUAGAGUGUGGAAGGGGCGAUUGGAAUUCCGUGUGUAGCGGUGAAAUGCGUAGAUAUACGGAGGAACACCAGGGGCGAAGGCGGAUCGCUGGGCCAACACUGACGCUGAUGUGCGAAAGCUAGGGGAGCAAACGGG
rnacentral:rRNA from 1 species